AAUGGUGCUGCUGUGUGUAGAAAUUUGCCUCUGCUUCUUCUAUGAUGGAUUACUCCCUGUAUGAUUGUCGAACUUUGGUGCAAAA